rnacentral:rRNA from 1 species
CCUACGGUGGGCAGCAGUGGGGGAUAUUGCACAAUGGGGGGAACCCUGAUGCAGCGACGCCGCGUGGGUGAAGGAGCGUUUCGGCGCGUAAAGCUCUAUCAGCAGGGAAUAGAAAAGAAGGUACCUGAAAAAGAAGCCCCGGCUAACUACGUGCCAGCAGCCGCGGUAAUACGUAGGGGGCAAGCGUUAUCCGGAUUUACUGGGUGUAAAGGGAGCGUAGACGGAAAGGCAAGUCAGAAGUGAAAGCCCAAGGCUCAACCAUGGGACUGCUUUUGAAACUGUCAAACUAGAGUACGGGAGAGGUAAGAGGAAUUCCUGGUGUAGCGGUGAAAUGCGUAGAUAUUAGGAGGAACACCAGUGGCGAAGGCGUCUUACUGGACCGAAACUGACGUUGAGGCUCGAAAGCGUGGGGAGCAAACAGGAUUAGAUACCCUUGUAGUC